rnacentral:lncRNA from 1 species
UUGUGCCAAGUGUACCCAGGCACAACUGAGGUCCUGUGGUGGUACCUCCUUUAAUCAAACCAGUGGUGGACAAGAGCAUGGCCAGUGCACUUCUCCAUUCUGGCAGGGAAGGAGAGUCUUCCACGACCCAAGACCUGAGAAAACGUUUAUAGCCUCUGGUUUUUAAACUGGAGUUCAAGGACAUCAUAGGAUGUCUAGCGGCCCUCCCUGUCUUCCUCAUUUACCACUCAGCAUAGAUUACGUGGCACAACAUGAUGCUAUAACAAAAUAAAAUUCUAGUGACAGUGGAUAAUACCCCCCAAUGUCUUCACUUCACUUAUUUUUGUUUCAUUGACUGAAAGGAAACACCAGCUGCACAUAUUGUGACAAGAGAUGCUAGAUGUUUUCACAUCUGGCACGCCAGGGUCACAUGCCAGUUGCUUGAAAGCAUUUUUCACCCAUAAGAGUUGAGUUUCCCAGAGAACUCUGACCCCUCAGCCCUCCACCACAAGAAGAUCCUCAGUACUCCCUGGUGAGGAGCACUCGCUGAGCCCACUGCCCACCUUGGCUCUCCCUCUUUGUUCUCACCACCUGAGCUGCUGCUCCCUCAGGGAGCCUGGAGGACGAGGCCCCGUGAAGCAGCACCCUGGCCACAGCUUGCCUUCCCCAGGCCACCAGGCCUCACCUCGUAGAAGCCGCGCACCAGCGCCUCGGUUUGCUGUACCACGCCGCGCUCCACCCGCCACUUCACCAUGCGCUCGAUGUACUCCUUCUUGUUCUUCUCCGUCACCUGUGUGUUGGCUCCUCCAGACUUCAACUCCCUUUCCGUGACCUUGUAGGAAAACAGAAAUAUUGCGAUGCUUGUCAGUUCAGCUUAUCUCUCAGGGAGGUACACUGAUUUUAGGGGGAUGACUGUAUGCCAAAAAUCCUCUACAGGGCAUGAUAAAAUACUUGUUACCACCCAGCAUCCAUAUUCUUUGGAAUGUCUGAUUUUUAGCGGCCCAGUUAAAGACUUUAUUUUCCAACCUCUCUCACAGCUAGGUGUGGCAUGUAAGUAAAUUCUGUCCAAUGGGAUGUAAGCAGAAGUGUAUGGCACUGUCAGGAGGCCUCCUUGAAGGGAUGGGCUGUGUGUUCCUUUGUCCGGCUGCACUGAACACAGUUGUGAUGGUUGGGAUGCUGUACGCAUCUGGGCUAAGAGUGCAGAGGGCCUACCCUAGCGAUAGCAGUGGGGAGACCUGGAAGGAGCUUGAUCCCUGAGGAUUUUAUCAAACAGAGCUUUUUUUGUUUUUGUUUUGAGACAGGGUCUCACUCUGUCACCCAGGCUGGAGUGCAGUGGUACAAUCUCAGCUCUCUGCAACCUCUCCCUCCCAGGCUCAAGCGAUUCUCCCACCUCAGCCUCCCAAGUAACUGGGACUAUAGGUGCAUGCCACCACACCUGACUAAUUUUUUUUUAUUUUUAGUACAGACAGGGUUUCGCCAUGUUGGCCAGGCUGGUCUUGAGCUCCUGGCCUCAAGCGAUCCACCCGCCUUGGCCUCCUGAAGUGCUAGGAUUAUAGGCGUGGACCACCACACUCAGCCUCAACAGCGCUUUUAUAUGAGAAAAAAAAGCUUCUAUUAAUUUCAACAGGGUCAUUUUUGGCUUCUUCACUAGUAGCUGAAUCUAAUCCUAAAGCCUAUGGUGUCUUUCACCUGCAUCCCUCUGCUCUCCACUGUCUAACAACUUGACAAAAGAAGGGCUGCAAUUCAAUCUUCUAAAACCACUCAUUGUUCUUGGUGACCUCCUUUUGAAGAGAAAUGAGAUAAACUUUAAACAGGUAUACAGGUUGACCCUUGAGCAGCAUGGGUUUGGACUGCAUGGGUCCACUCGUACAUGGAUUUUUUUCAAUAAAUAUAUUGGAAAUUUUUUUGGAGACUUACAACAAUUUGAAAAAACUCGCAGAUGACCUGCAUAUCUAGAAAAUUAAUAGAAGCUUUUUUAAAAUAAAAAAAGUUAGAAAUGUAAUGAGUCCAUAAAAUAUAUGUAGAUACUAGUCUAUUUUAUCAUUUACUAACAUAAAAUGUACACAAAUCUAUUAUUAUAUUAUUAAAAAGUUAAAAUUUAUGAAAAUGUACACACACAAACACUUAGAGCCUGUACAUGGUGCCACUGGCAGUUGAGACAAAUACAAACAUCAAAAUGCGGUAUUAAAUCAUAACUGCAUAAAAUUAACUGUAGUACAUACUGUACUAUUGUAAUAAUUUUGUAGUCACNNNNNNNNNNNNNNNNNNNNNNNNNNNAGGCUGGAGUGCAGUGGUGCAAUCCUGGCCUGCUGCAAUCUCUGCCUCCUGGGUUCAAGCAACUCUCCUGCCUCAGCCUCCCGAGUAGUGGAGAUUACAGGCACGUGCCACCACACCUGGUUAAUUUUUGUAUUUUUAGUAGAGAUGGGGUUUCACUAUGUUGGCCAGGAUGGUCUCGAUCUCUUGACCUUGCGAUCUGCCCACCUUGGCCUCCCAAAGUGCUGGGAUUACAGGCAUGAGCCACCAUGCCUGGCUGAAAACACAGCUUUUAUGUGAGUGCAGUAUUGCUAGAACAAUGGCAUACAUACCUGUAGACUCUAAUAUGAUUCUAGAUAAAGCAAAGUCAUUAUAUGAUAACUCAAAGCAAAAGGAAGGUGAAGGAUCUAAAGUUGGAAAAUUUAAUGCCAGCAAAGGAUGGUUUGAUAAUUUUAGAAACAGGUUUGGCUGAAAAAAAUGUCAAGAUAAGAAGAGAAGCAGCUCGUGCUGACCAAGAGGCAGCAGACGAAUUCCCAGACACCGUUAAGAAAAUCACUGAGGAGAAAGGAUAUUGGCCUGUACAGGCUUUUAACGCAGGCGAAAGUGCCCUGUUCUGGUAAAAAAGCACCACAAAGGUCUCUUAUUAGUAAGGAAGAUAAGUGAGCACCAGGAUUUAGGGCAGGAAGUGAUAGGCUAACUCUGCUGUUUUGUGCAAACACAUUUGGAUUUAUGAUCAGGAUUGCCCUUAUCCAUUAAAGCUUUAACCCCUAUAAUAGAAUCUUCCCUUACAACAACAACAAAAUCCCCAAAUACCUUUUUAUUGUGCUAAAAAAUGUAUGUGAUAUCUAAGCACUCAGAACAGGAAGCCACCAUAACCCUAACAGGAAUGGUUAGGGCAAAAUAGUGACAAAAGGGUCAGUGGCACCAGAGAGGUCAGUGUCCUUGCCCUGCAGACAGGGCUGGGUUGGAAGCAUGGUCUGCAAAGCACUUACAGUCUCAGGAGUGCCUUGUAGAAGGGCCUCGUGAAGAAAGCAUCAAGAAGGUACUGAUGGAUCAGAGCCAGGCCCAGGAUGCGACCGCUAAACCUGAACCUGGAACACAGACAAGGCAGAGAAAUGGGCAAGUGGAAAUUUACAUUGUUAAAUAUUUUAGUUUGCACUUUUAUUUGAUGUGUUUGAGCAUUCAUCUUAAGCUGCUUAAGGAAUCUUCUCAUUGAUGACACAAGGGAGGCGCCUGUUCUCGUCCUUUUGCUUUACCAUGAACAAUCCCUGUGUGCUUGUUAGGGACUAAAGGAAGCCUCCUCUUCCAGCCAUGUAGCAGACUUGAGUCAUUUUUCCAGAACCUUUUUCAGACCGUGGAGAAUGAGGACCCAAGAAGAGAAAAGCACUGGGAAGGGGAAUUCAGAAAUCUUAGAUAAAAAGCCCACACUGAACUGGAAGAGGACCCAGAUCCAGUGACACAGAGGGCUUUCUGGAUGUGCGUCCUUACCCAUUCAAGCAUUUUAUCUACAUUACCUAAGGUCCAUGCUGGCAGGUGGAGGGUUUGAGUAUGGAGCCCAUAUGGCAGUUGUGCUUGCAGACAGUGGGGAAGAGUUACAUAG